GUCCACGCCGUAAACGAUGGGCACUAGGUGCUUGGGGGAGCGACCCCUGAGUGCCGACGCUAACGCAUUAAGUGCCCGCCUGGGAGUACGACCGCAAGGUUGAAACUCAAAGGAAUUGACGGGGGCCCGGCACAAGCGGUGGAGCAUGUGGUUUAAUUCGACGCAACGCGAAGAACCUUACCCAGGCUUGACAUGGCCGUGAACUCGUGGGGAAACCUGCGGGGCUCUUCGGAGCGCGGUCACAGGUGCUGCAUGGCUGUCGU
rnacentral:rRNA from 1 species